CCAACAGGGAUUGCCUCAGUAACGGCGAGUGAAGCGGCAACAGCUCAAAUUUGAAAUCUGGCCCUUGCGGGGUCCGAGUUGUAAUUUGCAGAGGGUGUUUCGGGUGCGGCGGCGGUCCAAGUUCCUUGGAACAGGGCGUCAUAGAGGGUGAGAAUCCCGUAUGCGACCGCUUGCCAACCCCGUGUGAAACCCCUUCGACGAGUCGAGUUGUUUGGGAAUGCAGCUCUAAAUGGGUGGUAAAUUCCAUCUAAAGCUAAAUAUCUGCCAGAGACCGAUAGCGCACAAGUAGAGUGAUCGAAAGAUGAAAAGCACUUUGGAAAGAGAGUCAAACAGUACGUGAAAUUGUUGAAAGGGAAGCGCUUGCGACCAGACCUGCGCGGGGGCGAUCAGCGACCGCUCGCGGCCGUGCACUCGUCCCCGGUCAGGCCAGCAUCGGUUCGGGCGGUCGGACAAAGGCCCUAGGAAUGUAUCUCCCCCCGGGGAGCCUUAUAGCCUGGGGCGCAAUGCGGCCAGCCUGGACCGAGGACCGCGCUUCGGCAAGGAUGCUGGCGUAAUGGUUGUUAGCGACCCGUCUUGAAACACGGACCAGUAAGUCUCGACCUACCACCGUACCCGGAGCACCUCACUAACGUCUAUGCAGAGGAGUCUAACAUUUAUGCGAGUGUUCGGGUGUCAAACCCGUACGCGCAAUGAAAGUGAACGGAGGUGGGAGCCUUCGGGUGCACCAUCGACCGAUCCUGAUGUCUUCGGAAGGAUUUGAGUAUGAGCAUAGCUGUUGGGACCCGAAAGAUGGUGAACUAUGCGUGAAUAGGGUGAAGCCAGAGGAAACUCUGGUGGAGGCUCGCAGCGGUUCUGACGUGCAAAUCGAUCGUCAAAUUUGCGCAUAGGGGCGAAAGGUGCGUUUUUAGGGAGGAUGUGUACCCGGGGAUCAAUAACUAACAGGUUUUACAGACUAAUCGAACCAUCUAGUAGCUGGUUUCUGCCGAAGUUUCGUGAGUCGACCCCCUAACCUUCCACUCAGAACUUCCACUAACAAUAUCGCAGCCUCAGGAUAGCAGUAACGUCUUCAGUUUUAUGAGGUAAAGCGAAUGAUUAGAGGCCUUGGGGUUGUAAGUUGCACUUUCUCCGGGGGGCACCCCCGGAAAGCUACCUAAAAGACCAUUGCUAAUUGAUGCCAGGAAACAACCUUAACCUAUUCUCAAACUUUAAAUAUGUAAGAAGUCCUUGUUACUUAGUUGAACGUGGACAUUUGAAUGUACCGUUACUAGUGGGCCAUUUUUGGUAAGCAGGUAAGUUAUCACCCCUACACCUACCCCAUCGAUGCCAGCCGUCUAACGAGUAUUCGCAGAACUGGCGAUGCGGGAUGAACCGAACGCGAGGUUAAGGUGCCAGAAUGUACGCUCAUCAGACACCACAAAAAGUGUUGAUGCAUCUAGACAGCCGGACGGUGGCCAUGGAAGUCGGAAACCGCUAAGGAGUGUGUAACAACUCACCGGCCGAAUGCAUCAGCCUUGAAAAUGGAUGGCGCUCAAGCGUGCUACCCAUACCUCGCCGCCAGGGUAGAAACGAUGCCCUGGCGAGUAGGCAGAC
rnacentral:rRNA from 1 species